CAUCUUGAUGCAGUGCGGGUCCAGUUUCCACCGUCUUCAAUCCUAUUUCUUCCUUUGAGCCGAUUUUUGCGCUUCUUGGGCCGCGAUAUGGGUCAAUCCAUAUUUUGGUGUCAACAAGAUCUUGAGUCUUCGAUUGCUAGGCCAUUAGGAGUAUAAACAUGCAACAAAAUCACUAGCCGGUUAAUGAAACACCGACAGGCGGUAAACUCAGUCCAAGGCUAAAUAUAGGCGAGAGACUGAUAGCGAACAAGUACCGUGAGGGAAAGAUAAAAAGGACUUUGAAAAGAGAGUCAAAGGGUGCUUGAAAUUGCCAGGAGGGAAGCAGAUGGGGGCUGGUGAUGCGCCCCGGUCGUAUGUGGAAUGGCUUCUGCUGGUCCGCUUAACGGCUCAGGGCGUCGACUGUUGUCAGCCGCGCCGGCAGCCUAAGUGUGGCAGAACCGCUCGAAUUAACCCGGUUUAAGUGUGCUAACCAUCACCAUAGAGAUGAUCUGUGGCAGAACCACCCAAAUUAACCCGGUUUAAGUAUGCUACCCAUCACCAUAAAGAUGAUCCGGGCUACAACACACUUAAAACAGAAUAAUCUGGCAGUUUGUCGGGUAGAUCCCGAUCCAACCACUGAUUUCAAGAUCGAAACAACAUACCUCACACGAAAGUGAGCUCACAGAAUACAACAUGCCACAAGUUCUUACAUCACAUGGUUUAAUUAAUUUAAAUUACAAACUAACUUUGAUGCAUAAAUAAAAGACAGGUUCAGAGUUUAGUAUAGUGGAAAAUACGAUGUAAAUAAGCUAACAACAAUACACAAUAUCAUGGACAAGCCCAAUGCAUGAUAUAAAUCUUUGCCAAGUCAGCCUUACAACCAUCUCUUCUAUACUCUCACCUGCAAAACAUAAGCCACAAGCAAGACUGAGUAUACUAAUACUCAGCAARACUUACCCGACUAGUGGUAUAUACUUAGCCGACUCCUA
rnacentral:ncRNA from 1 species